UAGAUUAUUCUGUAGAAAAUAUCUGCAACCCAAACGACCAGCUCUUAGAGAAGACAAACAGACAGAGAAAUCGAUUCAAUAUCUUCUCAUACUCCAUAUAACCACUUGAUGAUUCUGUUUCGGUGUGGGCUUCAUCUCCAUCCCCGGUCGACUUCCAAUUCAGUUAGAUCUUGACCAACAUUUUCAUGCAUUUUUACCCAUUUUUAGCCUUUCAGAUGCUAAAUUGUGUGCUGAUUUGUUUGCUGCUCGCCUUGCAUGUUGAAACUUGCAUUCAUAAAAAGUCACAUUUUGUUCUUUAAUAUCAUGAAUAUAUGAUCCAAUUGCCGAUUUGUCUUUAUUUGGAUUUUUAACUUUCUUGAUUACUAUUAAGGAGCCACCCUCAAUUUCAACAUAUUUCAUCCCCAAAUCUCUACCCAUAGUAACCGCCUGCAAACAUGCAAUGGCUUCAACUGCGAAUUUGGAAGGAAUGUUAUCGUGGACCAUUGUUUUUGAGGCCAAAACAUCUCCUUUAAAAUUCAUGACUAUGAUUCCCGAGCAUAAUCUAUUUUUACUGUUAUCAAAAGCAGCAUCGAAGUUUAUUUUAAAGAAGCCUUGUUUCGAAUGUCUCCACAAAUCAGAGUCCGGACUUAAGACCAGAUAGCCCAAAUGGCGUAGACAAAGAUUCGACAUCCAUCUGCCUUACUGUUUAAAAGGACCCAGGCCUUCAACAUUCGGAACCCAACCAUCGUCCUCGAUUCUAAUGUCACGACCAGUGCCCACCCUCCAGUACAGUCCAGAUAGAAGGAGUCAUUUCGCAGCCCAUAUACUUGGAAAAGUAUAUGAAUGAAUGCAAUUUGGGGUUAAAUAGAAGAAAAUGGAAACAAUUGGGCCAAAUUAAAGAAAGAAGCAAAGAAGGAGGGCCAAAGUAGAAUUUUUCCAAUAUUAAUUAGCUGAAAAUUUUGUUGACUUAGUGGGGGAGAUUAUUUUGGGAUAUUUUUUUGUCAUGGAAUAUUUUUUUUUCUUAAUUUUCUAUGACUAGUUGGCUCUUAAUUUAGUAAAUCCUCUAGUAUAAAUAGAGCAUGUAUUGUUCAUUUAUUCAUCAAUCAAAAAAUAUUAAGUUCUUGUCUUUCAA